rnacentral:tRNA from 1 species
UCCGCGACAGUAUAGUCGUGAGUAUCUUCACCUGUCAUGUGGAAGACCCGGGUUCAAUUCCCAGUCGUGGAU